AUUGAACGCUGGCGGCAGGCCUAACACAUGCAAGUCGAGCGGAUGAAGGGAGCUUGCUCCUGGAUUCAGCGGCGGACGGGUGAGUAAUGCCUAGGAAUCUGCCUGGUAGUGGGGGAUAACGUCCGGAAACGGGCGCUAAUACCGCAUACGUCCUGAUGGAGAAAGUGGGGGAUCUUCGGACCUCACGCUAUCAGAUGAGCCUAGGUCGGAUUAGCUAGUUGGUGGGGUAAAGGCCUACCAAGGCGACGAUCCGUAACUGGUCUGAGAGGAUGAUCAGUCACACUGGAACUGAGACACGGUCCAGACUCCUACGGGAGGCAGCAGUGGGGAAUAUUGGACAAUGGGCGAAAGCCUGAUACAGCAAUGCCGCGUGUGUGAAGAAGGUCUUCGGAUUGUAAAGCACUUUAAGUUGGGAGGAAGGGCAGUAAGUUAAUACCUUGCUGUUUUGACGUUACCAACAGAAUAAGCACCGGCUAACUUCGUG
rnacentral:rRNA from 1 species